CUCACCAUUGUUUGAGACAGCCAGGCAGCUCUGUCCCUUAAUAAAGCCCUGCUUUGGGUGUUCGUGUUUUGGCUCAUUUUAUUUCUCUCACUUGGGAUCUUGUGCUUGUGAGGCAGGCACCAGAAUCACUGAGCUAAAUCCCCGGCUCCAAGGUCUUUCCCAGAGCAAAAGCCAUGUUUUAUGGAGAGAUGGAUAUUCUGUCUUGGCUCCAAUGGAGACAUUUUCCACCCUUCCCCACUGUGCUGUCUGCCCUUUACAGGAUGCACCAACAGAGUUUUCUUGCCCCCUGGCUUAGUUGAGCUGGGAGGCCUUGGCUGGAAUGAGAGAAGGGUCGGGUGUUUUCCCCUCGCUUGCUCCUUCACAAGGCGGUUUGGUAAUGGUGCUUGGCUCUGCCUACCAAACACCAUUGGCUCCAUAACCCAGCUCUCUUAUGCAGGUGCAGCUCUUGCUGGGAUGAUAGCAGUUUCCUGCUGGUGCCCAUUCCAGGGAGCUGUGCCAUUCUUCACUGGUGCCUGCUAUAACUCUGACUGAAAUUUUACCAGUAGCCUCAUCAAUAACUGAAUCAUCUGCCUCCUGACACCAUCCUGGCUCUGACACCCGUCAUCUGGCCUGGUCCUUCUCAGAGGCGGCAGGAGGCCUUGGGGAGGUCUCCUUUCCAAGGAGCUUGAUGCAUUUGGAGCUAAGCCACUGGCCCUUGGCUCACUUUGGGAUGCUGGAUGAUGCCCAGGAUUUGCCUAGCUCUCUUCAGUGUUGUCAGAGGUGUAUGGAUGCGUGGGAAAAGACACAGUUUAUAAAGGGCUCAGUUCCACCGAUCAUUUCAGGCCUAUCCUCCGGAUCUACUCUAUAUGAGGAAGAAAAGGAACUUAAACUAGCACUCUACGCUCUGUACUCCCUCCCCAGUGCUGAGAAAAUGCAGAUAAAAGACCAAAACUAAUCUUCUUUUGGUUGCCAAACAAUAUUUUCGUGACUAAGAACCCCUGCCUGUGCUGAGAGCGGACCACGUAAUGCCCAGCUUCAACAAAGAUGUGUGCAGUCAGCAGCAACCUCUGUCUCUCCUCCCCAGCUGCUGCUGCCCCCAUUCCUGCCCACCACACUGCCCUGAGCUCUGGAGCUGAUUCCCAUUGAUCUUCCAACUGCCAAAGUCAGUGAACACUUCCAGCCCUUCUCUUAUGUAACCUCUCUACAGCAUCUGUCUGUUGCCAAUUCUAGGUUCUUAGAGCUAGAAAAUAACAGUACAAGGAUUUAAGUGUGGACCUAUUCGAUUCUGAAGCUCUUUUGUUAUUGUUAUUUAAUGAGUAUUACGUAUUACAUAAGAUAAUUAUCUUAUUAGUAUGUAAUUAAUAAAUUAUUAUUUAUAAGUAUUAUGUCAGCGGUUUCAGCCUUCUGAUAUAAAAAUCCCAAACUUUUUAGAGGCACUGAUAUGAGGCUGUCAAAUGUGUGUGUGUGUGUGUGUGUGUGUGUGUGUGUGUGUGUGUACGUGUGCCCGUGUAGUUGUUAGGCCAUUUUAAAAAAUGCCCAACUACAAUAUAUCAUCAUUAUCAUUCAUUUUUGUUUUAAAAUUCCCCAAUGUACUGAUAUGAAAGUACCUCCUUACUGUGUUGUUAAGCAAGAUGCUAUUUGCUGUAUUAAAAAUUAAUUUUUACAAAUAUAUCUGCUGGCAUUACAGCACUUUUUUUGGUAGAAUUAGAAAUCAGCAACAGUUUAGGGUUGGGAACCAGAAGUGUGGAGUGGGAGGGAGACUUCCUACAUAGUCAGUGCAGGAGGAAUUGCACAUUCUGAAUUUUGUGCAAGGAGUAUCGUCUAUUAACUAUUUCAAAAAUACAUUAAUUUAAAAUAAAUCUUUAGAGCAAAGCACUAUGGCAUACCCCUGUAAUCCUGGUUACUUGGGGCGGGGGGCAGGGCGAGACAGGAGGAUCACAAGUUAGAGGCAAGCCUGGGCAAUUUAGCAAGACCCUAAAGGGAAAAGGAUGGGAAUGUAGCUCCGGGGUAGAGGAGUGCUUGCAUAGUAUGUAUGAGGCCCCAUUCAAUCCCCAGGACAAUAAAUAAAUAAAUCUCUAAAAGAAAAGUAUUAAUACCCCCAGAAACAUGUUUAAUAUAAUCACAACAUAAUUUGAGUAAGUUUGAUUUUACUCUUAUUUUUCUCUUUUUGACCUGCCCCGGUGAGAACUCUCUUGGGGCCUGACAAUAGUCUCAGGCUGACCCCAAUGGCAUACCUGGCUCUCACUAACCACAUGCAGAUGCAUGCUGGCUGCUUCCUAAAGAAUUCCUGUGCCCACAGGCAGGAGCAGCCCUUGUGACGGUCCCUUCCAGGUGCUCAAAAUUCCAAACAAUUUUCCUAGCAUUACAGCAUAAAUAGGGGAGUUGAAUCUGGCUGGGGUCAGUGGCCUAAGAUGAGAAGCCUGGUUUUGAGCAGUUCUUACCCUAAUGCAAGUUCUUUAACUGCAUUGAAUCUCAAAUCAUGUGAGCAGUUAGUGGAUUAGACUAGCACCCUCCUACAGACUGUCUCAAAAUAUGCAUUUUGAACAAAUGUCCUGGGCUUUCUGAUGCCUUUGGAGCAGCUCUAAGAAACUUAAAAAAUAGCUUGGAAUGUGUAGUGAGCUACACAGAUAGACUAAGGAUCAUGACUGAGCUUUAAUAAGAAUUUGAGCUUUUUCUGGGGCGGGGGGAAAAGAGGCCGUGGGAUCAACGAGAGUCAAAGUCAAAUAGAAUAAUUCCCCUCCCCCGCCACACCAGGGGUCACACAGGAUGUGUCUCAGAUGGAGUCCACUAACACAAACAGGAUCUGGAGAGAAAUAGCAAUUCUUCCUUUUCACUCUGAACCUCAGUCCGACCAGUUCCGGAAACAGUCCUGAUUAGAGCAUAAUUGAUUUGGACUCCACUAGCAGAGCAGCCAGGCCUGCAUCCCGCCUUCUCACGCUGAGCAAGCUGUGCUGUAUCAUCUGACUCCUUAUUGCAUUAAAAGCAAUAUGAUAUGACAUGUGCUGGUUUUCUAACAACAUUUGCAAACGAAGAAAGAUUAUAUAGUCCUUGGCUGUGCCAACCAUACUGUAGAGAAAGGGUGGGACAUUUCUAUCCAGGCCCCAUUGACAGCAAACAAGCCUG
ensembl:lncRNA